rnacentral:rRNA from 1 species
GACGAACGCUGGCGGCGUGCUUAACACAUGCAAGUCGAACGGAAAGGCCCUGCUUUUGUGGGGUGCUCGAGUGGCGAACGGGUGAGUAACACGUGAGUAACCUGCCCUUGACUUUGGGAUAACUUCAGGAAACUGGGGCUAAUACCGGAUAGGAUCUCCUGCUGCAUGGUGGGGGUUGGAAAGUUUCGGCGGUUGGGGAUGGACUCGCGGCUUAUCAGCUUGUUGGUGGGGUAGUGGCUUACCAAGGCUUUGACGGGUAGCCGGCCUGAGAGGGUGACCGGCCACAUUGGGACUGAGAGACGGCGCAGACUCCUACGGGAGGCAGCAGUGGGGAAUAUUGCACAAUGGGCGGAAGCCUGAUGCAGCAACGCCGCGUGCGGGAUGACGGCCUUCGGGUUGUAAACCGCUUUCGCCUGUGACGAAGCGUGAGUGACGGUAAUGGGUAAAGAAGCACCGGCUAACUACGUG